CCCGGAAGUGCCUUAGAACCGGAGAGAGGAGCGGAGAAAGAGCGCGCUGCUGUAGGAAACCGGAAUGUCCACCAAUCACGAGGUUCCUUCCCGAUUCCGACCAAUUGCUUGAGAGAGAUCCUUACGUGGUUACCAGUCUGGAAACUACGCCAUGUGCACACGUGACGCGCGCUUGCUUUCGGAGGUGCAACCCCAGGAGGUGUCAAAGUAUGCAAAGAAGCCUGUUUGUCCUGAUGUCUUCAGAGAGACAAUGGAUCAGUCUGGAGUUCUCCUCUGGGUAAAGGCAGAACCUUUUAUAGUGGGUGCCUUGCAGGAGCCACCUCCAUCCAAAUUGAGUCUUCACUACCUCAAGAAGGUAGCUGCCUAUG
rnacentral:lncRNA from 1 species